rnacentral:tRNA from 1 species
ACCUGGGUGGCUCAGUCGGUUGAGCGUCCGACUUUGGCUCAGGUCAUGAUCUCACGGUUCGUGGGUUCGAGCCCCACUUCGGGCU